UACGUAGGGUGCGAGCGUUGUCCGGAAUUACUGGGCGUAAAGAGCUCGUAGGUGGUUUGUCGCGUUGUUCGUGAAAACUCACAGCUUAACUGUGGGCGUGCGGGCGAUACGGGCAGACUGGAGUACUGCAGGGGAGACUGGAAUUCCUGGUGUAGCGGUGGAAUGCGCAGAUAUCAGGAGGAACACCGGUGGCGAAGGCGGGUCUCUGGGCAGUAACUGACGCUGAGGAACGAAAGCCAGGGGAGCAAACGGG
rnacentral:rRNA from 1 species